rnacentral:sRNA from 1 species
UCGUAGCCGAGCAAACCUGACGAUGUU